GUGGGGAAUAUUGGACAAUGGGCGAAAGCCUGAUCCAGCCAUGCCGCGUGUGUGAAGAAGGUCUUCGGAUUGUAAAGCACUUUAAGUUGGGAGGAAGGGCAGUAAGUUAAUACCUUGCUGUUUUGACGUUACCAACAGAAUAAGCACCGGCUAACUUCGUGCCAGCAGCCGCGGUAAUACGAAGGGUGCAAGCGUUAAUCGGAAUUACUGGGCGUAAAGCGCGCGUAGGUGGUUUUGUAAGUUGGAGGUGAAAUCCCCGGGCUCAACCUGGGAACUGCCUCCAAAACUGCAUGACUAGAGUACGGUAGAGGGUAGUGGAAUUUCCUGUGUAGCGGUGAAAUGCGUAGAUAUAGGAAGGAACACCAGUGGCGAAGGCGACUACCUGGACUGAUACUGACACUGAGGUGCGAAAGCGUGGGGAGCAAACAGGAUUAGAUACCCUUGUAGUCC
rnacentral:rRNA from 1 species